UCAGCCACCCCGGGACUNGAACCCGGCCCAGACUCCCACGGGGGGCAGCCGGGGGGAAUUUUCCGCAAAGGGCGAAAACCUGACGGGNCAAUACCCCGUGAGGGAGGAAGGCUCUNGGGUUGUAAACCUCUUUUCCUAGGGAAUAAAUUCUGAAGGUACCUGAGGAAUAAGCAUCGGCUAACUCCGUGCCAGCAGCCGCGGUAAUACGGAGGAUGCAAGCGUUAUCCGGAAUGAUUGGGCGUAAAGCGUCCGCAGGUGGCAUUGUGUGUCUGCUGUUAAAGAGUGAGGCUUAACCUCAUAAAAGCAGUGGAAACUACAAAGCCUAGAGUGCGUUCGGGGCAGAAGGAAUUCCUGGUGUAGCGGUGAAAUGCGUAGAGAUCAGGAAGAACACCGGUGGCGAAGGCGUUCUGCUAGGCCGCAACUGACACUGAUUAC
rnacentral:rRNA from 1 species